rnacentral:lncRNA from 1 species
ACCCACAGAUGUGAAUGUCGUGUGAUGUUGGCUUUCCAGUGUCUUGCACGGCGUGGUAGCAGCAGAAAUGAGCUUGGCUGGGCACCCUAUCUGGGCCUUGGAGGCAAGCCUGGGCUCCUCUGAAAAUACAGGCAGCUUCCUUUCCCUGACUUGCCUGGAGGAGCCAGGCCCUGUGGUGCGGUCUGGCUCUGAGGCCUGUGGUCCUGCUUGGGACUGGCAGUCUUAGGCUGAGGGAACAUUUUCCAGAGUAUAGCCGAGGGACAGAAUGUCUCAGUAAGACGGGCUCGGAGGGGAAGUGUUUUGGAAAGGCCUCUGCUUGCUCUGGGAGGCGUUCAGGAUGCUGAGGUUUUGGAAAUCUAUGGCGGCUCUUCACAACUGCUCCCAGCUUUGGGAGGAGGAAUAGACGGGUGCUCGUUUCCUCGGGUUCAGUGGCAAAGGUGAAGACCAGCACUGCCGACCUGGGGACCUGGGCCUCUCCCGGGCCUGGGGAGGACACUGGACUUUGAAGGGGAAUGCAGCCUAGAAGGCCUGGACCCUGGAGUCAGGAGAUGCUGCUCCCAUCCAGUAAGCCCUGGCUGGAGCUCUUCUGGGCACCAACCCUGGCAUAAAACCAGUGGGGCCUCUGGGCCUGCACUCAACAGUGCCUCUGAUGGAGCAGGUUCAGCUUGGUUGUGACCUCUGCUAGAAGCCCUCCCUGGCCUCCCUGUGCACUGAGCUGGCGGUUCCUCCUUUGCGCCCCAGGUACAUGCUCAGAUCUGUGUACCCUCCACUUUGUCCUCCAGCUUCGUGUUUGGAUGUUCACAACUCCCAUGAAAAGGGCCCCCAAGAGCUGGCACAGUGCAUGUGUUUCCUCUCCAGACUUCUACAAACCUGGCACAUAAUUGUUUGCUGAAAGAUGGCAUGUUCCUAAAACAGAGGAAGUAGAACCUGAAUAAAGCGAAAUCCAACUUCCCA